GAUCCCAGCCCACAGCGUUUAGAGUAAACUAAUGGAGUAAGCUUUACAACACCCCUGUGAGCCUUCACACAUACAUACCCCAUGUCACAUGCCCUUCCUGCCACCCAAAGUAAAACUCAGGAAAAGCUCCUUUGAUCUUAGUACCUAUGGAAAAUAUAAAGAAUAUUGAGAUGCAGAAAUAUGUUUACAAUGCAGUGUUCCUCAGUGUGAGGAUCUUCUUGGGUGAGGAGAGGCUACAAACUGAGGAAAACAGAUGGAGUGACCACAGGCGAGUUUGAAUGAUGUGUGAGUUUAGCAUUGAGGGGGGAGUAGACUUCUAAAUGUAAUUAUUCAUAGAUGAUUAAACUAAAUAAUUAGAAGUUCUUCCCUAAGUGAUUAAAUAGAGCACAUAAAAACUUUACUCUAACUAUAUUCAGACCCAGACUUAUAUUUAAACCCAGUCUAACUAAGGAGGUAAAACACCUAUUGCACACUGACCAGGGUGGGCAUUAACCAGUUUAGACUCAGAGUUUAAGACUAGAAGAGUCUUAAACUAAUCUACUAUGACUUUCUGUGUAUCACAAGC